rnacentral:tRNA from 1 species
UUCAUCAUAGUUUAAAAAAAACUUUAUCUUUGUAAGAUAGUAAUGACAAAAAGUCUGAUGAAU